AGAAGAAAAGCAGAAAAAGCCGAGAGUUGUUGAGUUGGUUGUUUCAGUGGUUUUUUUUCUUCUUCUUUCUUUUGUUUUUUUUUUUUUUUUUUUU
rnacentral:ribozyme from 1 species